CUUCAUCACAGCUCUGUGGUAGUUCUGCAUGUUCUAGUAUCUCUUUUGUGACACAUCGCAUAAGCUGAGCCAUAGGCACGGUUUUACUGAACAAGGGUGCACACCUGCCCAAAGGAUAACAUCUGUGACUUACAUUAGAAAUAAUUUUUCAGUGUAAUAAAAGCACAGACUGAAGAAGACAUCAUAAAUAUCUUCACUUGAAUAGUCACCAAAAGAACAGAAAUCAGCUGUUUUCCACACUCACUGAGAAUGGGGCAAAAAGCAGUAAGAACCAUACCUCUGCAAUGGACAAAUGUUCAUAUCUAGGUACCUAGAAGAGAGAAAGUGUCAUGGUAGAAAGUUACUGUUUCCUUUCCUAAUAGUAAAAGACUUCAGACCACACAGAUUCAACUCUACAGAACUAACUUGGAUCAUACAAGGCAUAAACAGAUGA
rnacentral:lncRNA from 1 species